GGGGGUAUAGUUCAGUGGUAAGAGUACUUGCCUAACANUCAUGAGGACCUGAGUUCAAUCCCCAUCACCCUCC
rnacentral:tRNA from 1 species